rnacentral:rRNA from 1 species
AAUAUUGGACAAUGGGGGCAACCCUGAUCCAGCCAUGCCGCGUGUGUGAAGAAGGUCUUCGGAUUGUAAAGCACUUUAAGCUGGGCGGAAGGGCGUUAAGCUAAUACUCGGUAGUGUUUACGUUACCAACAGAAUAAGGACCGGCGAACUCUGUGCCAGCAGCCGCGGUAAUACAGAGGGUGCAAGCGUUAAUUGGAAUUACUGGGCGUAAAGCGCGCGUAGGUGGUUCAGUAAGAUGGGUGUGAAAUCCCCGGGCUUAACCUGGGAACUGCUUUCAUAACUGCUGAGCUAGAGUACGGUAGAGGGUAGUGGAAUUUCCUGUGUAGCGGUGAAAUGCGUAGAUAUAGGAAGGAACACCAGUGGCGAAGGCGACUACCUGGACUGAUACUGACACUGAGGUGCGAAAGCGUGGGGAGCAAAC